rnacentral:rRNA from 1 species
CCUACGGGUGGCAGCAGUCGAGAAUCAUUCACAAUGGGGGAAACCCUGAUGGUGCGACGCCGCGUGGGGGAAUGAAGGUCUUCGGAUUGUAAACCCCUGUCAUGUGGGAGCAAAUUAAAAAGAUCGUACCACAAGAGGAAGAGACGGCUAACUCUGUGCCAGCAGCCGCGGUAAUACAGAGGUCUCAAGCGUUGUUCGGAAUCACUGGGCGUAAGGCGGGCGUAGGCUGUUUCGUAAGUCGUGUGUGAAAGGCGCGGGCUCAACCCGCGGACGGCACAUGAUACUGCGAGACUAGAGUAAUGGAGGGGGAACCGGAAUUCUCGGUGUAGCAGUGAAAUGCGUAGAUAUCGAGAGGAACACUCGUGGCGAAGGCGGGUUCCUGGACAUUAACUGACGCUGAGGCACGAAGGCCAGGGGAGCGAAAGGGAUUAGAUACCCGGGUAGUC